GACGAACGCUGGCGGCGUGCUUAACACAUGCAAGUCGAGCGGUAAGGCUCCUUCGGGCGUACACGAGCGGCGAACGGGUGAGUAACACGUGAGUAAUCUGCCCUUCACUUCGGGAUAACCACCGGAAACGGUGGCUAAUACCGAAUACGACCAGUCUUCGCAUGAGGUGCUGGUGGAAAGUCUUUUCGGUGAAGGAUGUGCUCGCGGCCUAUCAGCUUGUUGGUGGGGUAAUGGCCUACCAAGGCUUCGACGGGUAGCCGGCCUGAGAGGGUGACCGGCCACACUGGGACUGAGACACGGCCCAGACUCCUACGGGAGGCAGCAGUGGGGAAUAUUGGACAGUGGGCGAAAGCCUGAUCCAGCAACGCCGCGUGAGGGAUGACGGCCUUCGGGUUGUAAACCUCUUUCAGUACCGACGAAGCGCCCUGUCGGGUGGUGACGGUAGGUACAGAAGAAGGACCGGCCAACUACGUG
rnacentral:rRNA from 1 species